rnacentral:rRNA from 1 species
GACGAACGCUGGCGGCGUGCUUAACACAUGCAAGUCGAACGGAAAGGCCCUGCUUUUGUGGGGUGCUCGAGUGGCGAACGGGUGAGUAACACGUGAGUAACCUGCCCUUGACUUUGGGAUAACUUCAGGAAACUGGGGCUAAUGCCGGAUAGGAGCUCCUGCUGCAUGGUGGGGGUUGGAAAGUUUCGGCGGUUGGGGAUGGACUCGCGGCUUAUCAGCUCGUUGGUGGGGUAGUGGCUUACCAAGGCUUUGACGGGUAGCCGGCCUGAGAGGGUGACCGGCCACAUUGGGACUGAGAUACGGCCCAGACUCCUACGGGAGGCAGCAGUGGGGAAUAUUGCACAAUGGGCGGAAGCCUGAUGCAGCAACGCCGCGUGCGGGAUGACGGCCUUCGGGUUGUAAACCGCUUUCGCCUGUGACGAAGCGUGAGUGACGGUAAUGGGUAAAGAAGCACCGGCUAACUACGUG